ACUCAAAACAAGCGAAUCCCGAACAAUGUUAUAAGUAUCCCGAACAGUGUUUAGAAAACGAGGGUGUAUGAAUAAAAAGAAAACAACAACAUUGAUUUUAAAGAUAGCGUCUUGUAGCGGCGUUAUAGAAUUCUUGAUAAAAAGAGGCUGCAGUGAUGAAGUAAUUAAAAAGUUUCGGCAGGAAAAGCAUUCUUAACAUCCGACACAUUAUUAAUGCAUUGGACUGACGUCAUUACAGCAUCAACCUACCCGUUCCUGAAUAAUCAACGUAUAGAUGACAUCUUCAAAAAAUAUCUAAUGCCUAAACAAUUUUCUAAAAAGAAACUGACCAGAGCUGACAGUUUCAGAAAGCUGCGAUAGGUACUGGAGGAAAUAAAGACAUUAAAGAAAUGUUUAGUAUGGUAAAAAGGAAGACAGAGGCAAAAGUUAUUGUAACAGAUUGUUGAUUAUGUGGAAAUAAUGUCGGCUGAUGUCAAUACUGUAAGAAGGCUGUGAGGACCACUUUAGUCAGAUUCUUCACUUAUUUGCGUAUAUAAAAGUAUCACGGUUAAUGGAGUAAAAGGAAAAUCAAUGUUAAAUGCCGAAAAAUUCUCCCUGCAAUCUUUAAGAAAGUGUCGUAUCCACACGAAGUGAUUAUUGUAACUAGUGAUUGCGUUACCACAUGUCUCUUUAAAAUAAACCACAACUGGCAAAAAAUCCGAAUGGAACCUAUUUACUUCAUAUGCACAAAACCGAAGUUGCGAUAAUGUUUGUUUUUUUGGAAAAAGGUGUUACGUCUACACAUAUGCGCAACACCGUUUACCUGUAUUAAGCGCUCAGCCUGGUGUUAACAACAUACUGUUUUCUGUGUUUGAUUUAAACCGAAGCUGUAAUAUAGUGCUUUUGAAAAGAGUAUUAUUGCUGUACGGAUGGGUUAACAGUUCAUUUAUCUGGUAUGCUGUUCCUGUGUUUUUAUUGAAACCAAAACUGCGAUAAAGAUUUUUUGGGAAAGGGUGUAACACUUUACAGAUUCACGACACGGUUUACCUGUACUAAGCGAUUAGCCCAUUAUUAACAACGAAUUGUUUUCAGUUUUUUUUAAACCGAAGCUGUGAUAAAUUUUUUUGAAAGGGGUAUGAGGCUUAUAUGUAACACGGUUAACCUGCACAUUUGAAAGCGCUUAGCCCAGUGUUAACAAUAGAGUGCAUCCUGUGUUUUAAUGUAAAAUGUUAUAUAAAAGGGGUAUUGCCUCUGCAGAUGGGAGACACAGUUUAUAUGUAUAUACUUAGCAUACUUAGUUGUACAGUUUAAAGCUUUAUAAAUCGCUCAACGUGGUGAUUAACACAGGUUCACACAGUUACUCGUGGCUUAACUCAGUGUUUCGACGCGGGAUACCACAACUUAUCUAUCCUAUAUUAUAAUACUCUUGUUUGAGUGACUAUGUCAGUCCAUGACACGCAAAGCCCGGGACACUUUCUUACGACGUGGUGUAACGUUAGAAUUUACUAAGUAAAAAAGUACCCAAAUCAAGGGGUUACUACUUAAACAAUUUUUUUGUUCUAAAAGCCCGACUGGUCGUUAUAAAUAUAAUAAUUUAAUUCUACCCUCCGCUUACAAUGUACGCGCCAUAUCUCUUAUUUAUCAACUUAAAAAGCAAGCCGAAGAUGGUUGUCUCAUUUUCAAAGUAAUCCUGAAGAAAGUUAUUUCAAUGCCAAUUGCUUACCCGUCAUAAGGUUAGCCUAAACAUCAUGUUUGUCUUAUGGGUUGCUUCCGUUUAAAGAAAAUCUGUCGAAUUCGAAGAGUGGCUGUGUGUUUGUAUGUCUGUA